rnacentral:sRNA from 1 species
GCUGGGCAGGGUGGCGCACACCUGUAAUCCCAGUUGCUCCGGAGGCUGAGUUAGGAGGAUCUUGAGUUCAAAUCCAGCUUCAGCAAUUUAGUGAGGGCCUAAGCAACUCAGUGAGAUCCUGUCUCUG